GAUGAACGCUGGCGGCGUGCCUAAUACAUGCAAGUCGAACGAAACUUCUUUAUCACCGAGUGCUUGCACUCACCGAUAAAGAGUUGAGUGGCGAACGGGUGAGUAACACGUGGGCAACCUGCCCAAAAGAGGGGGAUAACACUUGGAAACAGGUGCUAAUACCGCAUAACCAUAGUUACCGCAUGGUAACUAUGUAAAAGGUGGCUAUACUACCGCUUUUGGAUGGGCCCGCGGCGCAUUAGCUAGUUGGUAGGGUAAAGGCUUACCAAGGCAAUGAUGCGUAGCCGAAUUGAGAGGUUGAUCGGCCACAUUGGGACUGAGACACGGCCCAAACUCCUACGGGAGGCAGCAGUAGGGAAUCUUACACAAUGGGCGAAAGCCUGAUGGAGCAACGCCGCGUGGGUGAAGAAGGUCUUCGGAUCGUAAAACCCUGUUGUUAGAGAAGAAAGUGCGUGAGAGUAACUGUUCACGUUUCGACGGUAUCUAACCAGAAAGCCACGGCUAACUACGUG
rnacentral:rRNA from 1 species